GGGUUAGGGUUAGGGUUAGGGUUAGGUGUUAGGAAAUGAGCAGGCCCGGCUAUGCCGGAACCUGAGUGCACGGGCCAUCAUUGGGACUGGUGUUGGUGCCCCCUGUUCAAAAAAUUACCCUUAAGCGGGUGUAGUGCACUGGGGUUGGGCCAUUCGCGACGUUUCGGCUUAAUUUAGCCUUCUUCAGGCUGGCCCACCCGCUCUUGUGUUCAAUUUCGCCACUCUGGGCCUUUUAUACUCCUGUUUUUCAUUCCUGUUUUUCUUAACUUUUUCUGUUUCUUAGUUUUUACUUGUUCUCAGUUUUUUCUGCUUCAGCUCUCCCUUUUUCUGUUGUUCUUUGUUCUUUCUGUUUUUCUUUACCUUUCUCUUUGUAUUUCUGUUUUUCUUUAUACUUGUUCUUUAUUCUUUGUUUUUCUUUACCUUUCUCUUUGUAUUUCUGUUUUUCCUUAUACUUGUUCUUUAUUCUUUGUUUUUCUUUACCUUUCUCUUUGUAUUUCUCUUUGUCUUUCUCUUUUUAUCUCUGUUGUUCUUUUUUCCUUUCUGUUGUUCUUUAUUAUUUCUCUUUAUUCCUCUUGUGUUCUUUUCUUUAUUCUUUCUUAUAUUUCUUUAAAUGGCACCCCCUUCUCAUUAGACAUCCCGUCCUUUGUACUGUAUUUUUCUUUUAUGGCACCCCCUUCCUGUAAAUCCUUUCCUUUUGUACUCUGUCUUUUUUCUGACCUUUCUUGUCUUUUUUCUCUUAAUUUAGGUUCUUAGGGCUCCCUUAAGAUUAGGGCUAGAAGGGGAAGGGGAGGGGGGCAAAGGGGUUAGGGGGGUUAGGGUUAGGGUUAGGGUUAGGGUUAGGGGUUAGGG
ensembl:lncRNA